rnacentral:rRNA from 1 species
GAUGAACGCUGGCGGCGUGCCUAAUACAUGCAAGUCGAGCGAACAGACGAGGAGCUUGCUCCUUUGACGUUAGCGGCGGACGGGUGAGUAACACGUGGGUAACCUACCUAUAAGACUGGGAUAACUUCGGGAAACCGGAGCUAAUACCGGAUAAUAUUUCGAACCGCAUGGUUCGAUAGUGAAAGAUGGCUCUGCUAUCACUUAUAGAUGGACCUGCGCCGUAUUAGCUAGUUGGUAAGGUAACGGCUUACCAAGGCAACGAUACGAAGCCGACCUGAGAGGGUGAUCGGCCACACUGGAACUGAGACACGGUCCAGACUCCUACGGGAGGCAGCAGUAGGGAAUCUUCCGCAAUGGGCGAAAGCCUGACGGAGCAACGCCGCGUGAGUGAUGAAGGUCUUCGGAUCGUAAAACUCUGUUAUUAGGGAAGAACAAACGUGUAAGUAACUGUGCACGUCUUGACGGUACCUAAUCAGAAAGCCACGGCUAACUACGUG